rnacentral:sRNA from 1 species
GCUUAAUCAAGUUUUAGAUAAGUCGGGAGAAGAGCUAUGUAUAUGGACGUUGUGGUUUUCGCCGGAAUUGCGACUGUAUUGCUGAUGGUGGCGUUUUUUGUUGGCGUGGGCAUAUUUAUUAUGCGUGAUCAAAAAGCCCACGAGGGCGGUCAGCACAAGAAAGAUAUAAAUACAGGAGAGAAAGCGGCCUGAAAGGGCCAGCUCCAAGGUUGGAGCUUUGGAAGGCUAAGCUGUUUUUUUA